AAAAAAGUAUGGUUCUGCUAUCACUCUUGGGAUGGGACCCUGCGGGUGCAUUAGCUAGUUGGUAGGGUAACGAGCCUACCAAGGCGAUGAUGCAUAGCCGAGUUGAGAGACUGAUCGGCCACAUUGGGACUGAGACACGGCCCAAACUCCUACGGGAGGCAGCAGUAGGGAAUCUUCCACAAUGGACGCAAGUCUGAUGGAGCAACGCCGCGUGAGUGAAGAAGGGUUUCGGCUCGUAAAGCUCUGUUGUUGGUGAAGAAGGACAGGGGUAGUAACUGACCUUUGUUUGACGGUAAUCAAUUAGAAAGUCACGGUUAACUACGUGCCAGCAGCCGCGGUAAU
rnacentral:rRNA from 1 species